rnacentral:lncRNA from 1 species
GACUUGCUGAUAUUCUAAAUUGAUGUGGAAAUUUUUUUGUAGCCAAUGUGUUCCAAUAUUCAUUGAUAUUGCUGUCAUUUGAAUUAUACAGUCCAUCGUAAUAUGUAUUACUAUAAGUGAUUUAGUAUGCGGCUAUAUAUAUAUAUUAAGAUUUACAUAACAAAGUGUAAUUAUGGUCAGUUUUGGUUGAUGCUGUCACAUAUGGUCAGUUUUGGUUGAUGCUGUCAAAUAUGGUCAGUUUUGGUUGAUGCGGACAAAUAAUUUUGUUAUAUUCAUGAGUCAGUCUGAGAUAUCAAAACUACUGAAAUUAGUUUACGAUUCAAAAUUUUGAUGAAAAAGAGGACAUGCUGACACUAUAAACUGAUGUGAGCAUAAUUUUAUUUUCCAAUAUUGCUUUCAUUUAUAUUAAACAAUCCAUCCUGAUAUAAAAAUAUAGGUGAUUUACUUUGCGGCUAUUAAGAUUGACAUCAUGUACAUAAUAAAGUGCAAAUAUGGUCAGUUUUGGUUGAUGCGGACAAAUUGUUUUGUUAUACCAGUCAGUCUGAGG